CGAACCCGGCCGCACACAUGCCAGGCGAGCGCGCUACCGCUUGAGCCACAUCCCCAGCCCUAAAGAUGAACAUUUACAAGUUACCAGUUUUAAUUUUUCUCCAUGCCAUCUCAGUUUUCAAUCAAGCAAGUUCAAGAAUCAGAUAAUAACCAUUUAGGGGCCAUGAAUCUCUUCAUAGGGAAACCAUAGUUUUGUAUCCAAAUAUGAUCCUUAAUGUGCAUGAAUGUUCACACAGAAGUACCUUAACAGAGUUUGGGAUUUUAGAAAUACUUGAUGUUUUUUGUACUUUGGAAUUUUUUAAAAUGUUUUCUUAUAAUUUGAAUUCUAUAGCUUAAACUAUGAUGAUGUUUUUGGCAACUGAGGAAAAGAAGGGCAUUUUUAAAAUCUAUUAGUAGAACUGGGCAUAGUGGUGCACACCUGUAGUCCCAGUUAUUUGGGAGGUUAAGAUGGGAGUAUCAAUUGAGCCCAGGAGUUUCAGGUCAGCCUGGGCAACAUAGACCCAGCGAAGAGGGCGGAUAUUCUCCAGUACUAUGUGCUAGGGGUGGACAAACCAGCCUAGGCUUCAUUUUGUCACAUAAACACUCUAGAUAAGGGUUCAGCAAAUGUUUUAUGUAAAGGGACUGGUCAUAAAUAUUUUCUACUUUGGGGGUCAUGUUGCCUUGUUGUAACUAUUUGACUCUGCUAUUACAAUGGAAAAACAGCCAUAACAAUUAUGUAAAUAAAUGGAGUGACUGUUCCAAUAAAACUUUAUUUACAAAAACAGGCUGGUGGACUGAAUUUGACACAGUUUGCUGGCCUCUACACCAAGUUACUGAUCUAAAAAAAUGUUUUGCUGAUGUCAACAUGACUCGAAGUGUCAAUUUUCUGUAAUCUGAGCACUUCUCUGGUAAUUCUCCUGAUUUACCAUCAAUGUUUUUUCAGGGUGGGCAAGGGAAAUCAUCUGUUUAGAGGCAUGUAUGUUGUCUGUCUGCACUUGGAAAAGCAUUAAUGAGAAGCUUCCUGAAUGGGAUAGUGAACAGAGAAGGAAAUGGAUCCAGGUCAUUUUAAUGUAGUUCUGUUCUGUUUCAGUUCUUUACCUCUCUUUUUUUUUUUUAAUAUUUAUUUAUUUUUAGUUUUCGGUGGACCCAACAUCUUUGUAUGUGGUGCUGAGGAUUGAACCCUGGCCGCACGCAUGCCAGGCGAGCGCGCUACCGCUUGAGCCACAUCCCCAGCCCAGUUCUUUACCUCUUGAGGAAAAAGUCUAGAAUGAUUCUCCCAAUGUGUCCCCAUUUGCUUUUCUCAUCUGAUCCUAUUCCUCUUCCCUCCCAAGAAUCUGUCUUUGAGGUUAGCUGAGAUUACAAUUUUGGGAUAUAUAAUUAGUUGCCACUUAAGACAUUCUGUUUUUGAAAACUGUGACCAAAAGUGACUUUGACUUAAAGGUUCACAGAUUCUUAGAAGUGUGUUUGUGAGAAGAUUGUUAAUUGCUGUCAUUCACUUUGAUUACUGGUUGUCUUUGAAUUCCUUAGUCAGACAUAGAGUAUGGACCAGGCAUGGUGGUACAUGCCUGUAAUCCCAGCUACUCAGAAGGUCGAGACAGGAGGAUUGUAAAUUGGAGGCCAGCCCAGGCAAUCUAGCAAAACCCCGUCUCAAAAUAAAAGGUCUGGGGAUAUCACUUAGUGGUGGGGCACAGUCCCCACCAUGGCAAAAAGAGAGAGAGAGAGAGAGAGAGAUUGAUUAUAGAAUUUGUUAGUCUUUUGCCUUAUCAACUUUCAGUCUUCUUAUAAUAUGCAAGGAAAAACUUUUUGGAGAUUUGUGGGGAGGGUGACAAAAUCUGCAAAGCUUUGACCCUGCUUGCCUGGAAUGAUAGCUAAGAGGAGUGGAUUUUUGCAGAGAGAAACUGAAAUCCUGAUACUUCAACAAACUUUAAGGAAGAAAGUGAUGAAAGUUGACCAUAUGUCAGAGUAAACUCAUGUAAGGUAUGGUAAUUGAGCAUGGGUUCACACAACUAAUUUUUUGCCAAGUAAGCAAAAUCAGAUCCUUAAUUGAGACUAAAGGUCUACUC
rnacentral:lncRNA from 1 species